GCUAAUUAAAUAAUUUUUAAUUCGGUUAAAACGUACUACUUGUUGCUAUUUUAAACAUUAGUUUGCACCUUCCCACAGGCAUAACUUUAAAAUGUAAAAAGCAAAAAAUGUGUGAAUACCAUUGACGACAGUAAGGAUUCAGCUAUAGUUAGAAAACGUAAACAUUUUCUAAGAAAGCAGCAGUUAUUACCAUAAGAUGAACAAUUUGGCAAUAUUGGCUGAAACAGUGGGUACCAUUCCAACAAGGACAGAGAAUGUUUGCUUUUAGGCGAUUACCGAAACGUUUCGACAAGUCGAUUCAUGUUUCAACCGGUUGCAACUUUCCGGGCUUAUCGAAGAUGUUCAAAAAGCGCGUGCGGGCGCGGCGAUGGUGCUUUUUCUAAGAGAAAUCAUUGAACUCGUUGAAAAACCGAUUGCCAAAUUUGGAAUUGUGUUACCGCGAAUAACACCAGCGACCUAGAUCCGAUAAGAUGGAAAUUUUACAUAAUUGGUUUUGCUGGGCAAGUGGGAAUAAAAAUUUAAAAUAGCAAUAUUUAACUUACUAAAGUUCCAAAUAUCAGAUUAUAUACCUACAUCAAUUUUUAGUAUGUAAAAUACAUAUUAAGGGGAUAUUCCACAGCCAUGGACAUAUUUUAAUUUAUCGAACUGUUCGGUCACAUCCAUUGGUGAUAUUUAGGUAGAUUAAAUUAAGAAACUAUAAAGACAUUAACUAACACGGUAAGUAUAAGUCAAGCAAUGAAUCGCUUAAGAACGGAAUUUUGAGUAUAUAAAACUUAAUAUAGUAUGUAACUACAGUAAAUAUACAGAAUACAAAAUCAA